UACGAAGGUCCCUAGCGUUGUUCGGAAUUAUUGGGCGUAAAGCGCUUGUAGGUGGCUUUGCAAGUUGGGUGUGAAAGCCCCGGGCUCAACCCGGGAAGUGCACUCAAAACUGCUUAGCUUGAGUACGGUAGAGGUGAGUGGAAUACCUGGUGUAGUGGUGAAAUACGUAGAUAUCAGGUGGAACAUCAGUGGCGAAGGCGGCUCACUGGACCAGUACUGACACUGAGAAGCGAAAGCAUGGGGAUCAAACAGG
rnacentral:rRNA from 1 species